CAUCCGCGUGAGUGAAGAAGGCCUUCGGGUUGUAAAGCUCUUUCGCAAGGGAAGAAACGAUCAGUCUAAUAAACUGUGUUAAUGACGGUACCUUGAUAAGAAGCACCGGCUAACUACGUGCCAGCAGCCGCGGUAAUACGUAGGGUGCGAGCGUUAAUCGGAAUUACUGGGCGUAAAGCGUGCGCAGGCGGUUUUGAAAGUCAGAUGUGAAAUCCCCGGGCUCAACCUGGGAACUGCGUUUGAAACUCCAAAGCUAGAGUAUGGGAGAGGGGGGUAGAAUUCCACGUGUAGCAGUGAAAUGCGUAGAGAUGUGGAGGAAUACCAAUGGCGAAGGCAGCCCCCUGGCUUAAUACUGACGCUCAUGCACGAAAGCGUGGGGAGCAAACAGGAUUAGAUACCCUGGUAGUCCACGCCCUAAACGAUGUCUACUAGUUGUUGGGAGAGUAAAAUCUCUUAGUAACGCAGCUAACGCGUGAAGUAGACCGCCUGGGGAGUACGGUCGCAAGAUUAAAACUCAAAGGAAUUGACGGGGGCCCCACAAGCGGUGGAUUAUGUGGAUUAAUUCGAUGCAACGCGAAAAACCUUACCUGGGCUUGACAUGUAGCGAACUUAGCAAG
rnacentral:rRNA from 1 species